AGGGGUACCGAAAGACUCAUUCAACAUUUAAAUGAUAUGCUCUGACUGUGCAUCUUCAAACUUACGGCUAAGUUCAUCACUCAUAGCUGCUCUCAUCACGCAACGUACAGUCACUCGAUCAUUGAGCCACUUCAUGUAAGUAUUUCUCACAGCAUGAGGAGCAUUGGCAGCAGGUUCUUCAAGUGCCUCAUUCGUAAGGAUG
rnacentral:lncRNA from 1 species